CUAUAUCGUUACUGUUGCGUAAUUUUAUUAUUUUCGAGUGGCAAUCAUAAACGUCAUAUUAAUAAAUUAUUAUUAAUAUGUCUAUGAUCGCAAAAGAUCGUACGCGCUAGCGGUAGAUAAUGCGUUUCCAGAGCGGUACCGUCAAUGAAUGUGGGAUGGAGGGAGUUUACGGUUUUAGAAUACUGCCGCUGUAGAACGACGGCUGUUAAUUCGUUCGAAUUUGCAAAAACAUGGUUUCGUAGUUCCAGAAGUAGUCAAGUCUCAUUGAUUGGAGAAACAUGAUUUUAGAACCAAAAUAAACAAGAAAACAUAAAAUUUGAUUUGUUGGAAACUGAUUUUUGAAUCAAUU